CGAUAGCUGAGUAGUACGUUAGGAAUUUUAAUCCCUGGGGCCAUAAGUAUUCCUAGGGAACUGUCACUUCUUUAAUCGUGGUUAAAGUAUAUGGUGCCCACCUGUAUAACAGGCAACAGAGGAUAACUUAUCCGACGUCUAUUUGGCUUUCGU
rnacentral:other from 1 species